rnacentral:lncRNA from 1 species
UUUGAUCCUUUUGAAAGAGUUGCUCGUGCACAUCAUAUAUGUCCUUGUUGUGAACGACCUUUCUCACCUGAAGAAGAGGAUGAAUUUGUCAAGAAGGUCAGUAUGGUUGAAAGUAAAAUUAAAGCAGGCUACUGAUGUCAUUGUCCUAAGUGCUUUUGUUGAACCUCUUCCAAAUUUCAGCAAAGAGUUAAAAGUGCAAGUUCUGCAGAGCAUAUGAAACUAUUGGCUGUGGAGUCUUCAAAUGCUGAUACACAUUUCCAGCAGUUGGACAAGCUCCGCAUGAUAUAUGAGGAAUAUGUUAAACUUGGAAAGGAAGCAAUCCCUUUAGCAGAGAAAAAUCUGAAAGAACUCACAGAAGAUCUCAGUCAGAAGUCUCAGGCAUUUGACGAUGUAAUAUAACCUAUCUUUCGAUCCAGUAAACUCAGGUUUUCAUGUUGAAUGACUUUGGUGACUUGACUUCGUCAGUAUCUUAGCAAAUGUAGUUAUCUUAAUUCUUAACUGGGCAUAGAAGUUGCCUUAGAAUCAUUUUUAGUGGAUUUUUUGUGUGAUUUUCUGAACAUUCUGAAAUUAAAUUGAAGUCCCGUCUUUGCUACAAAAAUUUUCCAGAAUCCUAUUAAGUUGACAUCUUUCUUUCAUCAUGUGCUUUCACAAGUUUUCACAAGCAUGUGAGUAGCUUCUUUAUUGUUCUCAACUGUUACUUGUCAAUUAAUGUGCUUCCAUAUUUUUUCCAAAGCCGUGGUGCUCUGACAGGCACUUCCAGUUAUUAGGUGUGCAAAUUCUGUUACAGUUUUAAAUUUCAAGUUUGAUAAGUAGUUAUGGAGCUUGUGUUUAUAGCAUUUUAUUUUCUCUUUAGCCUGUCAUCUGUGUGAUCACACAUCUAGAGGUACAUAUGAUUCACUGACAAGCAAAGGUUGAGUUUUCAAAUCAAUGCUGACAACAUGUGCACGUACUAAGUUUGAUCUUUUUUUAUUUGUGAUCCUGGGAACCUUUUUUUUUAAUACAUACCCAAGAGAAUUUCUAGCAGAUUUUCUCGAAGUAUCUGCUUUGCUUAAAUAUAUUUGGCAGUUGGGUACUAACAUAUUAUAUGUGAAAGAUGCCAAUCUAAUGAAGGUAAACCUAAAAACUAGGAAUUUUUGUAGUAGUUGUGAAUUGAUAUACCUUUGUUCAAUUUUGGCUUUUGCAUUUGUUAUGUCAAGCUACUUGCAAAUCUUUUCUGAGGUAUCUAACACCACUUUGUUUUAUUCUUUUGUCAUCAGUUACUAAACAACUUCUUUUACUGUGGUUAGGUGAAUAUUAUAAAAUAGGUAUCAUUCUGACUUUGUUGUGGUGCUUGACUGCAGCUUGUAGGGGUUCUAGCUCAUGUUAAGACUGAGAAGGAUGCUGUAGAAGUUUUACUUCAACCAGUGGAAACUAUUGACCGGCUUUGGCAGGAAAUGGAGAAUUUGAAACCCCAAAUUGAAGAUUUGGAGUAUAAGCUAGAUUCUCGAGGACAAGGUGUCAGAUCUAUGGAGGAAAUUCAGCUACAGCUUAAUUCUCUGCAAAGCAAAAGGUAUUUCAUCAUUGGCAUCAGUUCCUGUUGGCAUGGAGGGAUGAGGAACUAAUAGUUUCCACAAAGCACCUUCAAUUAAUAAUUAAAAAUGGUUCAUCCCUAUGGAAUGAUCUUGCCCAGAUUGAGACGGGAGAAGGAUAUCAAAUCGUAUCCAGAUUUUGUGAUGUUUGCUAUCAGCGUGAUCUAUGGAAUUUGAGAUACUGAAUCUAGCCCUGGGCGUGAAAUUUAUUGUAGGAUCCCAUUAGUAUGAACAUUAAAUCUGAAUCUAGCACACCCAGGUUCUUGAUCUAAUAUAAAUUUUGAUUCAGGUUAUUUCUUCCAAUUAUUAGAAACUUCAUUUUAUGCCCACAACAGUUUGUUGUGAGUUAUUUACAACCUCAAAGUAAAUUUAAGAAUGAAUAAUGGUCAUCUAGAAAACCAGUUAGACUUGAUAGGAUUCUUUUGACAUCUUAUUCGUAUACAUUUUUUCUUAAUCUGCUACUUUCUGGAGUGAGAUACAUAAAUUCCUGGAUUUUAUUCACUGAUACUUUGAUUUUAAGGGCUUCAACCUUGAGACACAUAUAAUCACAAAUAUAACCAAUGUUUCCUAUACCAUCUAAAGGUGUCCCUUCUUCUGGAAGAUAUGUUGGAGCUUGUUAACAUCUCUUGACCUUCACUAGGAAUGAUCAAGCAUAACAUAUUAAGUUUGAUGGUUCUUAAUAUUUUGAUCCUUGUAAAGAAGGGCAGUCCAGUGCAUGAGGCUCCUACAUUAGCAAGUUUAGGGAACAGUUCAAUGUAUGCAACCUUAACCCUGCUAGCAAUGAGGCUUUUUCCAUGACCUGAAGUUUUGAACCAUGGUCAACUACAACGUUACUGUGGCACCAAGUCUUUCCCUUCACUGAGAAAUAUAUAAUAAUUUCAUCUUCUUGUUUUCAAAUAUUUGUCAGUUUGUUUUAUGGGUGCACCUUUAAUUAUUUUCCUUGGAAAGUCAUAAUUAAUUAUUAAGAAGUAAAAAAUGCAAUUAAGUGGCAAGCCUGUGCUAGACACUGGAUGGGCAUGUGCUGUCAAGUGUCAACAUAGUACAGUCUGCCGUCAUGCUCAUCCUGGCUGAAGAAAAAUGAAAGAAAGAAAAAAGAAACCAGAAGAGAGGAAAGAAGGCACAUUAUUACAUACCUGGCCAGUAGGUCCUGGGACUAUUGACAUGAUAACAUCUCUCAGAUCUUGUCAUCUUGCUACUCUACAUGGAAAAAGGAGGAAUUUUGUUUACAUACAUAUCAUUUGAACCAGUAUGGUCAGAUUCCUUCAAUUUCAUUGAGACAACAGAUGGUUACUCCCCAGGAACCUUCCUCUGUUUCUCUUGCU